rnacentral:rRNA from 1 species
UACGUAGGGGGCUAGCGUUGUCCGGAAUCAUUGGGCGUAAAGCGCGUGUAGGCGGUCCGGUAAGUCCGCUGUGAAAGUCGGGGGCUCAACCCUUGAAUGCCGGCCGAUACUGUCAGGCUAGAGUCCGGAAGAGGCGAGUGGAAUUCCUGGUGUAGCGGUGAAAUGCGCAGAUAUCAGGAGGAACACCUAUGGCGAAGGCAGCUCGCUGGGACGGUACUGACGCUGAGACGCGAAAGCGUGGGGAGCGAACAGG